rnacentral:lncRNA from 1 species
AUCUUUCUCUAGGAGAAACAAUGAUGAAAUCAAACAAUUGAUGAUGAGAUCAAUGCAUCCCAUUUGUUGAAUUAUGUGGACCCAAUAUGGGACCCACGUAAUUCGAUGGUUGGUAUUGAGUAAGCUUAUUUGCACUUAGUUAAUGCAAGUGUCGACCCAACUUGACUCACAAAUUCUGGCAAAACAAAUUCAAAAGAAGAAAAGAAAACAUGACUCA